AUGACCCAAACACACGCUUCUCCCAGGGAGCUGAGGAGGAGACACGGGAACCAUCCCAGAGACCAGGAACAGCUGUGGGUCCAGAGGGUCUUUGGCAAGGCCACACCAUGGGCUGGACUCCUCUCCCUCCUCACUGUCUGCCCAGGUGCAAAGGCUCAGUCUGUGGUGACUCAGGGACCUCCCAUAGUGUCUCCCGCAGGGACAGUCACUCUUUCCUGUGGCUCCAAUGCUGGGGCCAUCACCAGUGGAAGCAGAGCCUGGGGUGUCCCCACCAUGGCCUGGGCCCCGCUCCUCCUCACCCUCCUUGCUCACUGCACAGGGUCUUUGGCCAACUUUUUCCUGACUCAGCCCAGCUCUGUGUCGGGGUCUCCAGGGCAGAAGGUCACCCUCUCCUGCACCCGCAGCAGCGGCAACAUUGGGAGCUACUAUGUGAGCUGGUACCAGCAGCGCCCGGGCAGUGCCCCCACCACUGUGAUCUACAGGGAUGACAAAAGACCCUCCGGAGUCCCUGAUCGGUUCUCUGGCUCCAUCGACAGCUCCUCCAACUCUGCCUCCCUGACCAUCUCGGGGCUGCAGUCUGAGGACGAGGCCGACUACUACUGUCAGUCUUAUGAUGGCAGCUACAGUCACACAGUGCUCCAGACCAUGGGGAAGUGA